rnacentral:lncRNA from 1 species
AAAUGAUAAAAAAAGUGAUUAUCAGAAGACAACACAAACACUCAUUGUGGUCACGCAGGCAUUUAGAUCAGUAAGUACUGUACUAACUGCAAGUGGUACAAAACUAAAGGUCAGAAUCAACAGUAACUACAGGGCUAUCAAGAAAAAACUGUUAGAAUUACUUACUGUACUUCUAUUUUCUUUGAUUACAGCAGUAAAACUAGUGCUGAUCUUAUAAGCUUUGAAAUUUCAUGACCAUUCUGUGCAAGUGAUGCCAGCCCAACUGAAAGGAUAUGACAGAAUUUUCUGUGUUAGAAUGUUUAGCUUGUACUAUUAAUAUGAACAGAGAGCCACUGACAUUCACCUUUGGAGGCUGGAGUAUAUGUGGUGUGGGGUCUAUUGUUCUCUGCACUUAAAUACUUGUGGAUGGCAACAUUACAUAGUAUUAAAAAUAUUCCUGACUAUUCAACAUUUUUUUUUCCCUGUACACUACAAAAUUGAAUUUACAGCUUAUGUGUUUUCAGUUCUUAAGAAUUUUCUACAUAAAUGGUAGGGUAGGUAGUCAUUUGUACCUGGACUGUACUUGGUCCUUAUUGCUGUCCUUUUGUAUAAACAUGUGCAUUAAUCAUCUGCUACUCACAGGGAGAUGCAGAAUCUGAAAGACAAAACAGUAGGUGUGGAAGAUCUCAUAGAAAUAUGUGAGCUAAUAUGAAAACAAUUGUUUUUCUUUGUCACAAGCAGACUGAGCCACUGUUCUCUUAGGUGUUGUAUAUGUUGAGCAUUAACAAAAUGGUCACCAUCACUGAGAACUUUCAUCAUUAAUAUAGCCAAGCACAAAGAUCAAGAGUUUCAUUAUCUUAUUCUAGUUUAUUAUGACUUUUUACUGCUUAUGGCUCAAGCUAGCAUGUAAGAAAAUUCCUGCUGACAUCUUUUUGCUUUGCACUUCUCUUCCUUACACAUUACUACACUUGCACUGUGUGAAUGGGAGGGCUGAGAUGUUAUUCUAUUCCUACUGAGUUAGGAAAUGUUGAGCAGUUUAAACUCAUCAUCCACUGUCCUUGUAGAACUUUGAAGCAGACAAUGUGUCAAGGUAGUGACCUCUUCCACCUCUGUUUCGAAAACUUCUCAAAUCUUUUGUAAUGUAACAAACCUAAUAAAAUUCUGGGCUCA